AUUGAACGCUGGCGGCAUGCUUUACACAUGCAAGUCGAACGGUAACAGGCCUUCGGGUGCUGACGAGUGGCGAACGGGUGAGUAAUGCAUCGGAGCGUACCCAGAGGUGGGGGAUAACGCAGCGAAAGCUGUGCUAAUACCGCAUGUGAUCUGAGGAUGAAAGCGGGGGACCGAGCAGCAAUGUUUGGCCUCGCGCCUUUGGAGCGGCCGAUGUCGGAUUAGCUAGUUGGUGGGGUAAAGGCCUACCAAGGCGACGAUCCGUAGCUGGCCUGAGAGGACGACCAGCCACACUGGGACUGAGACACGGCCCAGACUCCUACGGGAGGCAGCAGUGGGGAAUUUUGGACAAUGGGCGCAAGCCUGAUCCAGCAAUGCCGCGUGCGGGAAGAAGGCCUUCGGGUUGUAAACCGCUUUUGGCAGGAACGAAACGGUGUCCGCUAAUACCGGGCGCUAAUGACGGUACCUGCAGAAUAAGCACCGGCUAACUACGUG
rnacentral:rRNA from 1 species